rnacentral:lncRNA from 1 species
AGGUGAGAUUCUGAGUAAUUAUCAGAGUAAAAUUCAUGUUUCUGUGUGUGUGUGUACAUUGGUAGAUAGAUAGAUAAGCAGACAGGAAAGAUAGAUUGAGGUCCAGAGUAUCUCAAGUGUCAUAUAUUGGUCUUGGUUUGUAAUUAAAUUCAGAAGCAUAAAAAAGUGAAAAACUUCAAGUGUUUUGAAGACUCGAUAUGUGAUAUUUCUCAACGUUCACCUCCUCCGCCCCUUGCAAACCAUCUUCCCUUUAGUUUCCAAAACAAUUGAAAGGAGACUAUGCAGAUAUAGGAGGGGAUGAAUCAGUGAAGAAAUGUACCAUACAUUAUCCUGUACAUUACACAAGCUUAUAAACAAGCCUUUCCAGGGGCCCAGAGAUAAACCAGCACUGAAGAGUUGCUCAGUCUUCCAGUCUCACAGGGAUGUAUGUCCCCAGGUGGACUGGUGUGGGCAUCCACGCGAGCCCCACUCAGCAGGCCUGCAAGGACUGGGAUACCUGCCAGGGGAAGAGCCAUGUGACUAAGAGUUUGCCUGUGACAGCCACUCCGAGGAUGAGACAGUCUGCUCUCUCCGCCACUCAAGUGAAACUGGUACCUGUUCCGCGAGCUGUUUCAAGGGAUCUAAGGAAGACACCCAGGAGACUAGGAGAUACUGCUCUGAAGAAUAAGAAUUAACAAGAAGUUUCCAGUUGCAUGAGGGGUAGAUAAGGACGUUUCCUGA